UACGUAGGGAGCAAGCGUUGUCCGGAUUUAUUGGGCGUAAAGAGCGCGUAGGCGGCUUGGUAAGCCGGAUGUGAAACCUCCAAGCUCAACUUGGAGCGGCCAUUCGGAACUGCCAUGGCUAGAGUCUGGUAGGGGAACACGGAAUUCCUGGUGUAGCGGUGAAAUGCUUAGAUAUCAGGAGGAACACCAGUGGCGAAGGCGGUGUUCUGGGCCAGUACUGACGCUGAGGCGCGAAAGCGUGGGGAGCGAACAGG
rnacentral:rRNA from 1 species